rnacentral:rRNA from 1 species
AGGGCCUUCGGGUUGUAACCUCUUUUAGUAGGGAAGAAGCGAAAGUGACGGUACCUACAGAAAAAGCACCGGCUAACUACGUGCCAGCAGCCGCGGUAAUACGUAGGGUGCAAGCGUUGUCCGGAAUUAUUGGGCGUAAAGAGCUCGUAGGCGGUCUGUCGCGUCUGCUGUGAAAACCCGAGGCUCAACCUCGGGCCUGCAGUGGGUACGGGCAGACUAGAGUGCGGUAGGGGAGACUGGAAUUCCUGGUGUAGCGGUGAAAUGCGCAGAUAUCAGGAGGAACACCAAUGGCGAAGGCAGGUCUCUGGGCCGUCACUGACGCUGAGGAGCGAAAGCGUGGGGAGCAAACAGGAUUAGAGACCCUGGUAGUCCACGCCGUAAACGGUGGGCGCUAGUUGUGGGAACCAUUCCACGGUUUCCGUGACGUAGCUAACGCAUUAAGCGCCCCGCCUGGGGAGUACGGCCGCAAGGCUAAAACUCAAAG